rnacentral:rRNA from 1 species
UCUUUCGGAGAGUUUGAUCCUGGCUCAGGACGAACGCUGGCGGCGUGCCUAAUACAUGCAAGUCGAGCGGAUUGAUGGGAGCUUGCUCCCUGAAAUCAGCGGCGGACGGGUGAGUAACACGUGGGUAACCUGCCUGUAAGACUGGGAUAACUCCGGGAAACCGGGGCUAAUACCGGAUAGUUCUUUUCCUCGCAUGA